AGGAUGCCUUAGAAUCAACAUUGAAAGAUCCUCGAAUAAUGAGACAGAGCUCAGAGGAACAGAAAUUUACUAUGAAGAAGUUAACAAUCAUCACACAUCUGAUACUGGUGACACACAACAUGUUGUCUGGACUGCCUCAGAGUUUGCCGAUUCCUCUGAAAGUGAUGAAGAGUAUAAUGAUGUGGGAAGCAUUACAGUAUGAUUAAAUUAUGCUGUUGCAACUUUGUGGUGUUAUCUUUGCUUUUGCUAUUUUACAACUGUUGCUUUUUGUGGUCUAUUUUAGAAUGCCUCUUUAAGUGUCUGUUUUAAUCUGUUUGUAAUCUGUUUAUUGUCACUAUUGUAGAAUGUUUUU